GCCAGGUAUGGUGGCGCACACCUGUAGUCCCAGCUAUCUGGGAGGCUGAGGCAGGAGAAUUGCUUGAACCCAGGAGGCAGAGGUUGCAGUGAGCUGAGAUGGCACCACUGCACUCUGGCCUGGGUGACAGAGUGAGACUCUGUCUCAA
rfam:Homo sapiens chromosome 3, GRCh38 reference primary assembly.